GUCAUUUUACCAUUGGGGAACCCGGAUCUGAAUCAGACAGACACAAUGGCCUGAAAUGACAGUGACAACAACCAUCAGCAUGAGAAUGGCAGUGCUGAGAGCUUCAGUGAAAGAUGAUGGUCUUCAAGGAACUUGCAAGGACUGAAAGCUGAAUUUACAAAAGGAAAUAAGCCAAGUGGAUGGAGUUCUGACCUACUGAGAGCAUAAUUUUUGGCCCUCUGGUUUUAUCUCAAAAGGAACAGUUUGCUUUGGCAAUUUGGAGAAGAGGAACAUUAACAAGAAAACUGCAAACAUCUCAACAGGGGAUCCUGGAAUACCCACCUCCCAUUGGAUGGGAUGAGCACAAGCGGUGAGGAAUGAAGGGAUGUGUCUGCAUUUUCUGACACAUCUGAAAACAUGUCUAAAAGCAAGAUCGUCUUCCAAUGGAGGAGUCUGAGAGAACUUGAGAGAUGUAUAGAUUAUUUCCUCACUUGUUCCUGCUGCAG